rnacentral:rRNA from 1 species
CUGGGCUUAAAGAGCGUGUAGGCCGGGAUGGUAAGUACUUUGUGAAAGCCCCGGCUUCAAUCCGGGACUGCUUGGUAUACUGCUAUUCCGUGAGGCAGGUAGGGGUGACUGGAACCUUAGCUGGAGCGGUGAAAUGCGUAGACAUCUAAGGGAACACCUGUGGCGAAAGCGGGUCACUAGGCCUGUCCUGACGCUGAGACGCGAAAGCGUAGGGAGCGAACGGGAUUAGAUACCCCGGUAGUCUACGCCGUAAACGAUGCGCACUAGGUUCGAGAACCUCUGACGGUUUUCGUGCCGAAACAAAAGCGAUAAGUGCGCCGCCUGGGGAGUACGGCCGCAAGGCUAAAACUCAAAGGAAUUGACGGGGGCUCACACAAGCGGUGGAGCAUGUGGAUUAAUUCGAAGCAACGCGAAGAACCUUACCUGGGUUUGACAUGCAUGGAUGCCCUCUGGGAAACAGGAGUAAGCUGCCUUCGGGUGAAACAUGCACAGGUGCUGCAUGGCAGUCGUCAGCUCGUGCUGUGAAGUGUCGGGUUAAGUCCCUUAACGAGCGAAACCCUUGUCGCUAGUUGCCAGCGGUUCGGCCGGGAACUCUAGCGAGACUGCCGGCGUUAAGCCGGAGGAAGGUGGGGACGACGUCAAGUCAUCAUGGCCUCUAUGCCCAGGGUGUCACACGUGCUACAAUGGGGCGUACAGAGCGACGCAAGCCCGUGAGCUGGAACAAAUCGCACAAAGCGCUCCUCAGUUCGGAUUGGGGUCUGCAAUUCGACCCCAUGAAGUCGGAAUCGCUAGUAAUCGCGCAUCAGCCAUGGCCCGGUGAAUGAGUUCCUGAGCACUUGUACACACCGCCCGUCAAGUCAUGGAAGCUGGGAGUUCCCGAAGUCGCCACAUU